rnacentral:rRNA from 1 species
AGAGUUUGAUCCUGGCUCAGGAUGAACGCUGGCGGCGUGCCUAAUACAUGCAAGUCGAACGCUUUGUGGUUCAACUGAUUUGAAGAGCUUGCUCAGAUAUGACGAUGGACAUUGCAAAGAGUGGCGAACGGGUGAGUAACACGUGGGAAACCUACCUCUUAGCAGGGGAUAACAUUUGGAAACAGAUGCUAAUACCGUAUAACAAUAGCAACCGCAUGGUUGCUACUUAAAAGAUGGUUCUGCUAUCACUAAGAGAUGGUCCCGCGGUGCAUUAGUUAGUUGGUGAGGUAAUGGCUCACCAAGACGAUGAUGCAUAGCCGAGUUGAGAGACUGAUCGGCCACAAUGGGACUGAGACACGGCCCAUACUCCUACGGGAGGCAGCAGUAGGGAAUCUUCCACAAUGGGCGAAAGCCUGAUGGAGCAACGCCGCGUGUGUGAUGAAGGGUUUCGGCUCGUAAAACACUGUUGUAAGAGAAGAAUGACAUUGAGAGUAACUGUUCAAUGUGUGACGGUAUCUUACCAGAAAGGAACGGCUAAAUACGUGCCAGCAGCCGCGGUAAUACGUAUGUUCCAAGCGUUAUCCGGAUUUAUUGGGCGUAAAGCGAGCGCAGACGGUUAUUUAAGUCUGAAGUGAAAGCCCUCAGCUCAACUGAGGAAUUGCUUUGGAAACUGGAUGACUUGAGUGCAGUAGAGGAAAGUGGAACUCCAUGUGUAGCGGUGAAAUGCGUAGAUAUAUGGAAGAACACCAGUGGCGAAGGCGGCUUUCUGGACUGUAACUGACGUUGAGGCUCGAAAGUGUGGGUAGCAAACAGGAUUAGAUACCCUGGUAGUCCACACCGUAAACGAUGAGUGCUAGGUGUUUGAGGGUUUCCGCCCUUAAGUGCCGCAGCUAACGCAUUAAGCACUCCGCCUGGGGAGUACGACCGCAAGGUUGAAACUCAAAGGAAUUGACGGGGACCCGCACAAGCGGUGGAGCAUGUGGUUUAA